rnacentral:rRNA from 1 species
UACGGGGGGAGCAAGCGUUGUUCGGAUUUACUGGGCGUAAAGGGCGCGUAGGCGGCGCAACAAGUCACUUGUGAAAUCUCCGGGCUUAACCCGGAGCGGUCAAGUGAUACUGUCGUGCUAGAGUGCGGAAGGGCUACUGGAAUUCUCGGUGUAGCGGUGAAAUGCGCAGAUAUCAGGAGGAACACCGGUGGCGAAGGCGGUUCUCUGGGCGAUUACCUGACGGCUGGAGGAGCGAAAGUGUGGGACGCGAACAGG